CGAUCAAUGGGGUAUUGGAAUUCUCUUUGCUUUUGAUUUAUUUUUUUAAGCAGUAAAAGCCUUCACAUUUGGAAUUCUCCCUUUUUGUUUGUUAGGGCUUUGUUGAUUUUACUUAAUUGUUGUCAUCGAAUUGGAAUGUUUCUAUGCCUAAUGGUUGAAGAGUAAUCUACUGCUGAUUUUUAUUUUAACUUGGAAGAGAUUCCAUUAAGAAUAAUUUGUUCUUGUGUGUAUUGAUUAAAUUAUUUGUUGGUGUCUUAUUUUCCUGUUUUUGGGUGCAUGGGCUUGUGCAAUGCACUAGUUCCCUGAGAAUUGGAUUCGUUUGAAGAGUUUCUUUGUGCUACUCUUGAUGGGUGCGCCAAAACAGAAAUGGACAGCAGAAGAAGAAGCGGCCCUAAAAGCUGGAGUUAUCAAACAUGGGGCUGGCAAAUGGCGCACAAUACUUAAAGAUCCUGAAUUUAGUGGUGUCUUGUCUUUGCGAUCAAAUGUGGAUCUCAAGGAUAAAUGGAGAAAUAUGAGUGUAAUGGCAAAUGGGUGGAGCUCCCGGGAGAAGUCUAAGUUAGCUGUCAAAAGGAUUCACCAUGUCCCAAAACGGGAAGAGAACCCUACAGCUUUCUAUACUGUUGCUCAAAGUGAUGAAGAUAUUUCAGAUGCUAAAUCUAUUGUGGUGGCCAAUUCUACAAUGCAGACUGCUGGUCCAAAGAGAACAACUGUAAGGUUGGAAAUUUUUUCUUAUUACUUGAUAUAGCAUGUCUUAUUUCCAUGAGUUUUGGAGUAAGGUGGCAUACAUAUUACUUGACUGUAGUGUUGAUAUGACUUGUUGGUUCAUAGUUUUGAUAUGGAGCUGGUCCGUGUCAAGGUGUUGGUUCUUUAAUCAUGUUAGAUUUAUGCCUACACAAGAAUUCAUGGAAUUAUAUAUCCAGGAAACUGGAUUUUGUAGUUGUAUGAAUGGCUGGAAGCCUGGAACCAUAUAGUUAAGAAGUAUUAGCUAUCUUCUCCUUGGACAAGUCGAAUUAAUUGACAAUUUAAAUUAUUGAAACUGAUGAGGACGCAGGCUUAUGACAUGUCAUUACUCAAAUAGGCGCUGCAUAAUUCUCUUGAAGGUGUGGCCGAUAUUGGAUGAAACCGUUUGCGACUCUACAGGCAAUCGCAUGACAUGCACAUGCUGGAUAAUCUUAUAAUGGAGGCUAUAACUAGCUUGAAGGAGCCCGGUGGUUCUAAUAAGACAACAAUUGCUGCAUAUAUAGAGGAACAAUACUGGCCACCUCAUGACUUCAGGAGGAUAUUGUCAGCAAAAUUGAAGUAUUUGACAUCAAUUGGCAAGCUGAUUAAGGUUAAACGCAAGUAUAGGAUUGCACCUACUUCAACUUUUUCUGACAGGAGGAGGAAUUCUUCCAUGUUAUUCUUGGAGGGAAGACAGAGGAUAUCUCCUAGAGUUGAGAAGGAUGAUUCCAACAUGCUUACAAAGUCUCAGAUUGAUUCGGAGUUAGCCAAGAUGAGAACUAUGACUGCACAAGAGGCUGCUGCAGCAGCUGCUCGAGCAGUUGCAGAGGCAGAAGCUGCUAUAGCAGAAGCUGAAGAGGCUGCAAGGGAGGCAGAGGCUGCAGAAGCUGAUGCAGAAGCAGCACAAGCAUUUGCAGAAGCUGCUAUGAAGACACUGAAAGGAAGGCAACCACCCAAGAUGCUUGUGCUUUGGAGACUUGGUCAGCUGACAUUAAAGUCUCUUAAACUAGAGACCAGCAAAGUUCUCUUUGCUACUUAAUUGGACUGAAUGAUCUUCAUAAUGGCCAUACACCUGGAAAUAUAUGAUCCGAGCUUGAUGGGGAUAAUCAAAGAAGAGCAAUGAGACAGUUUGAUCAACACCAAGAUAGAUAUUCAUCACAUGCUGACGUUGCCCGUCUGUAAAUAUGGAAAGGCUUUUUUUUUUUCUGUAGGGUACACAAUAUGACAAUAUAUUUAGCUGUGGAUCCUGGUGGUUUGGUAGAUUGCAAUUGCAUAGGCAGCUCGUUCUUUUCGACAGGAGUUUCAAAUGGGAAUUUGUUAUUUUCUUCCCCUUUUCUGGAAAGUAAUGCUUUGUUGUCAGUGCUUGUUUCCAAGAUAGAUUUUAAAGAAAAGAGUAGCUAGAAUGUAAAAUAAAAAAAAUAAAAAAAAAAUAGGAGCAAUGAUUCUGACAGGCUUGUUUGUAGUCCGUUUAAUUUUUCAUUAGAUGGACAGUUCAGGGACUAUUGGUUUUGGAAUUUUUUUCAGGCACGCAAGCUUUAAUCAGGUUUAGAACAUAGCUAAUGUAUGCACAUGGAGAAGCAUGUGCUUGGAGUAUUUUUCUUUGCUGUAAUCACUAAUCAGAUGUAAGAUGUAGGACAGAAACCUUGUAAUCUUUUCAGGAAUCAUUGUUGAUGACUCUUAAAACAAAUUGUCUUGUAUUCUUUGCUUGAUGUAAUUGCCUUCAAAAUUCUAUGGCUUGGCCUAUACUUUGCUUAUGAGGCUAUAAUUAUAUUCUUUAGAUAUACC
rnacentral:misc_RNA from 1 species